rnacentral:rRNA from 1 species
GAGGAAUAUUGGUCAAUGGACGAGAGUCUGAACCAGCCAAGUCGCGUGAAGGAAGACGGAUCUAUGGUUUGUAAACUUCUUUAGUGCGGGAACAAAGCGGCGUCGAGACGCCUGAUGAGUGUACCGCAAGAAUAAGCAUCGGCUAACUCCGUGCCAGCAGCCGCGGUAAUACGGAGGAUGCGAGCGUUAUCCGGAUUUAUUGGGUUUAAAGGGAGCGCAGGCUGCGAGGCAAGUCAGCGGUCAAAUGUCGGGGCUCAACCCCGGCCUGCCGUUGAAACUGUCCUGCUAGAGUUCGAGUGAGGUAUGCGGAAUGCGUUGUGUAGCGGUGAAAUGCAUAGAUAUGACGCAGAACUCCGAUUGCGAAGGCAGCAUACCAACUCGCGACUGACGCUGAGGCUCGAAAGCGUGGGCAUCGAAC